AGAAAUAUGCGCGAACCGGUCACUGAUAUUAAUACGUACAUACGUUUUUAGGAAUGAUAAUUCUAGUAAUACAUUGGCAGAUAAUAACGCUUUAUCUGUUUCGUAGUGCAAAUAGGUGUUCUGUUUUGGUAAAAGAAAUAAAUCGCAUCUGUGGUCUGCUGAAUGACAUUGAUUCCAAUUUUUAUGGAUAUAAUGUACCGUGUAACGCGUUGGAUUGCAGGUUGAAACAACACAACUUCAUUUCAUACAACACUCGGCCUUGCUUCAUGCCAGAGGAAUAUUUGUGAUAAACUAUGAUACAUUUUUGCAGGAUAGAGAGAAACGGAAAAUAUCUAGGGGGUAGACACCUAUGAAUCCAGUGUGAAUUAUUUGAUUUCUAUGAAAUCUUUGAUUCUUGCGAUUUCGGUGAUUUCUCGAUUCCAAACCUCAAUAUUGGACAUAAUAAAAUACACUUAAUGUUAUAUACAAAGCUAAUUUCACUGUGGUAGUGUGCGCCUAUAGUAGAAGUCGCACACAUAGUGUGUGUGCGGUACAAAAUACACAACAUUUGACAGAAAUCAAAGAAAUCACAAAAAUUGAAUUCUGCGAUUUCUGUGAUUUUAAUGAUUUUUGUGAUUUCUGUGAGUUUUGAUUCCACGUGUCUACCCCCUAGGAAAAUAUCCUUUAAAUUAUGAAUUAAUUUGUUUUGCGUUAUAUUUUAGAUGACAGGCGCAGUUUGUAUCUACCUAAUGAUAUUUUUU